GAUGAACGCUGGCGGCGUGCCUAAUACAUGCAAGUCGAGCGAAUGGAUUAAGAGCUUGCUCUUAUGAAGUUAGCGGCGGACGGGUGAGUAACACGUGGGUAACCUGCCCAUAAGACUGGGAUAACUCCGGGAAACCGGGGCUAAUACCGGAUAACAUUUUGAACCGCAUGGUUCGAAAUUGAAAGGCGGCUUCGGCUGUCACUUAUGGACGGACCCGGGUCGCAUUAGCUAGUUGGUGAGGUAACGGCUCACCAAGGCAACGAUACGUAGCCGACCUGAGAGGGUGAUCGGCCACACUGGGACUGAGACACGGCCCAGACUCCUACGGGAGGCAGCAGUAGGGAAUCUUCCGCAAUGGACGAAAGUCUGACGGAGCAACGCCGCGUGAGUGAUGAAGGCUUUCGGGUCGUAAAACUCUGUUGUUAGGGAAGAACAAGUGCUAGUUGAAUAAGCUGGCACCUUGACGGUACCUAACCAGAAAGCCACGGCUAACUACGUGCCAGCCGCCGCCGUAA
rnacentral:rRNA from 1 species